GACAGUGGCCUGGUACAAUACAAUCGCAUAUUACAAUAAAACUCUGUUGCUUCGCAUUUACAUGACGUAUACGUACCGUACGCGUGUGCGCGGCCGACGUCUCUAACGCGCUGUUACGAUAUAUAAACUCGCCCUUCCGACGACUUGGCCGACAUCGUCGUGUCGGUGCCGGCCGUCGAGGCGUGCGCCAGGGUGUGCCUCCGCCGCCGAAGGACGUUUUAAUAAUUAUUGUGCGACGACAUGGGUCGGACGCCCGCUAAGGGUGCGGUGCACCUACAUCGGUUGUAUUAAUAUAUUUGUACUUUGAUUUCGAUUCUACACAAAACCGUACGCACGUGUCCGCCGAUGGAUAAUGUUUAGGUUAUUUAUUUUAUACUUUCUUUUUUUCUUCUUCUUCGAAUACGUAUAGAUAUAUAUAUUUACACCCUUUAAUGGAUCGAGUCGUCGUCGUCGUCGUCUUCGAUGUCGCCACGUACAAUCGUUGCUGGACGUCUAGACGAACAUUAUACAUUAUUACGUUACGUUUGCGGACAAGAAUUUUAAAUAUUUCCAACGGAUACCACCCCGGGUGCGCGCGUUAUAUCGACAACGCCAUCGCGUCACGUCUGGCCGACAAACUUAUUAUAGGUUUACCUUUAUAGAAAACGUAUAUUUCGUAAUAUUUUUGUCCAUCGCCAUUAGACGACGACACGGAAUUCCGUAUUUAAUCUCACUUGUUUCCGAUGUAUUUUUCUUCGUUUCCAAAACGGUUUACGUCCGAUAGUUGCGUAAUCAACAAUAGUUUAUUAUGUUACGCGUGUCUCUACAAUCUUGAAUAAUUUUUCGGUUGGUUUCCCCGGUUUGGUGAGUCAGAUUUCCGACGUGCACAUAGCAAUAAAUAUUAUUAAAUAACCAUAAUUAUCAUUAACAUUUUUUACCAACGCAACGUAAGGAGACAAAUAUUUCAGAAAAACCACUAUUAUUUUUAUAAAAGAAUGUGGAACUUUUCAAACUCGUAUAUAAACGUUAAACGGAUAAUAUAGGCAUUAAGAUUAUGAGACGUUUUUGAAUUUUUAUGAUCGACAUAGUACCAGUACGCAUUUUUCUUUGCAAAGCAGUUAUCGAGGAAUUGAAAAAUCGUUUUACUGGAAAUCAAACACAACAGACUCGCCACGGGUUUCAAAAAGAAGAAAACGACAGCAUCUUGUGAAAAAACGUAAACAGACUAACGAUUGAUCAUGGAUAUUUUACCAAGUGAAUUGAAUCUUGUCCUUCGAAAGUAUAUCCUGUUGCGCUGCGAACUGAGCGAGACGUGAGGCGAGUAUAUUUAUAAUAUGCUAUUUACAGCCGACGUCAUAUUGCAUGUCAGCUGUUUCGGCGAACGGGUGUUAUGGAAAAAUCAAUUACCCGUCACUUUUCCGUGUUAUACGAUCAAGCAUUCAUGACGUUAUAUUAUGACUAUUUGGAACCAUUUAUGUUAUUUCCAAUUACAGAACAGCCCAGCGCUUGAGCGGUUUGAUUUCAACUGCUGAUAAAACCAUCUAGAUUUUUUCUCAAGUAGGAGAAUAAGACAGGGCAUGCCCACUAUCAGGUAUAUAUUAUACAUGGUUUCAGACGUGUGUGUUUUUUUUUUAU